CGGCCUAAUGGCUUCGGGCGCAACUUGCGUUCAAAGACUCGAUGGUUCACGGGAUUCUGCAAUUCACACCAAGUAUCGCAUUUCGCUGCGUUCUUCAUCGAUGCGAGUGACCUUUGC
rnacentral:misc_RNA from 1 species